ACGUGGUAUCCUGUCUGAAUAUGGGGGGACCAUCCUCCAAGGCUAAAUACUCCUGACUGACCGAUAGUGAACCAGUACCGUGAGGGAAAGGCGAAAAGAACCCCGGCGAGGGGAGUGAAAAAGAACCUGAAACCGUGUACGUACAAGCAGUGGGAGCACGCUUAGGCGUGUGACUGCGUACCUUUUGUAUAAUGGGUCAGCGACUUAUAUUCUGUAGCAAGGUUAACCGAAUAGGGGAGCCGAAGGGAAACCGAGUCUUAACUGGGCGUUAAGUUGCAGGGUAUAGACCCGAAACCCGGUGAUCUAGCCAUGGGCAGGUUGAAGGUUGGGUAACACUAACUGGAGGACCGAACCGACUAAUGUUGAAAAAUUAGCGGAUGACUUGUGGCUGGGGGUGAAAGGCCAAUCAAACCGGGAGAUAGCUGGUUCUCCCCGAAAGCUAUUUAGGUAGCGCCUCGUGAAUUCAUCUCCGGGGGUAGAGCACUGUUUCGGCAAGGGGGUCAUCCCGACUUACCAACCCGAUGCAAACUGCGAAUACCGGAGAAUGUUAUCACGGGAGACACACGGCGGGUGCUAACGUCCGUCGUGAAGAGGGAAACAACCCAGACCGCCAGCUAAGGUCCCAAAGUCAUGGUUAAGUGGGAAACGAUGUGGGAAGGCCCAGACAGCCAGGAUGUUGGCUUAGAAGCAGCCAUCAUUUAAAGAAAGCGUAAUAGCUCACUGGUCGAGUCGGCCUGCGCGGAAGAUGUAACGGGGCUAAACCAUGCACCGAAGCUGCGGCAGCGACGCUUAUGCGUUGUUGGGUAGGGGAGCGUUCUGUAAGCCUGUGAAGGUGUGCUGUGAGGCAUGCUGGAGGUAUCAGAAGUGCGAAUGCUGACAUAAGUAACGAUAAAGCGGGUGAAAAGCCCGCUCGCCGGAAGACCAAGGGUUCCUGUCCAACGUUAAUCGGGGCAGGGUGAGUCGACCCCUAAGGCGAGGCCGAAAGGCGUAGUCGAUGGGAAACAGGUUAAUAUUCCUGUACUUGGUGUUACUGCGAAGGGGGGACGGAGAAGGCUAUGUUGGCCGGGCGACGGUUGUCCCGGUUUAAGCGUGUAGGCUGGUUUUCCAGGCAAAUCCGGAAAAUCAA
rnacentral:rRNA from 1 species